UACAGAGGUCUCGAGCGUUGUUCGGAUUCAUUGGGCGUAAAGGGGUGCGUAGGUGGCGCGCUAAGUCGGGUGUGAAAUCCCGGGGCUUAACCUCGGGGACUGCAUUCGAUACUGGCGUGCUUGAGGACUGGAGAGGAGACUGGAAUUCAUGGUGUAGCAGUGAAAUGCGUAGAGAUCAUGAGGAAGACCAGUGGCGAAGGCGGGGUCUCUGGACAGUUCCUGACACUGAGGCACGAAGGCCCAGGGGGAGCAAAACGGGG
rnacentral:rRNA from 1 species